UAAAGUGCGAUAUCUAGUGUGAUUUGCAUGAAUCUGUGAGUCAUCAAGUAUUUGAACGCAACUUGCACCUCUUGGGCAACUAAGAGGUAUGUCUGUUUGAGUACCGAAACCAUAUAUUACCUCUAACUAGAGGUAGAAUUGAGGUCACAGCCUACCGUAAGGGGGGGUGGACCUUUAAAUGGAGCAAGAUAAAGGCCUAGUGGUCUUUGCUGUGUGCUAGAGGCUUUAUAGUCUUGUCAUAGCAAAGUGGGUGGGUAGUGUUUUGUUACAUUAUCAUUACCCUACUAAGCCUAGUGUCCCCUUAACCCGGACACACCCUCCUCCUCAAAUGGUCUCAAAUCAGGCAAGAUCACCCGCUGAACUUAA
rnacentral:misc_RNA from 1 species